GAUUAUGGCUCAGGAUGAACGCUGGCGGCGUGCUUAACACAUGCAAGUCGAACGAAGCUCCUUGAACUGAAGAUUCGUCUGAUGGGAUAGGAAGACUUAGUGGCGGACGGGUGAGUAACGCGUGGGUAACCUGCCGUAUACAGGGGGAUAACAGUUAGAAAUGACUGCUAAUACCGCAUAAGCGCACAGUGAGGCAUCUCACAGUGUGAAAAACUCCGGUGGUAUACGAUGGACCCGCGUCUGAUUAGCCAGUUGGCAGGGUAACGGCCUACCAAAGCGACGAUCAGUAGCCGGCCUGAGAGGGUGAACGGCCACAUUGGGACUGAGACACGGCCCAAACUCCUACGGGAGGCAGCAGUGGGGAAUAUUGCACAAUGGGGGAAACCCUGAUGCAAGCGACGCCGCGUGAGUGAAGAAGCAUUUCGGUGCGUAAAGCUCUAUCAGCAGGGAAGAAAAUGACGGUACCUGACUAAGAAGCCCCGGCUAACUACGUGCCAGCCGCCGC
rnacentral:rRNA from 1 species